UGGGAUCCGUGCCGUAGCUAACGCAUUAAGUACCCCGCCUGGGGAGUACGGCCGCAAGGCUAAAACUCAAAGAAAUUGACGGGGGCCCGCACAAGCGGCGGAGCAUGUGGAUUAAUUCGAUGCAACGCGAAGAACCUUACCUGGGUUUGACAUGCACAGGACGCCGGCAGAGAUGUCGGUUCCCUUGUGGCCUGUGUGCAGGUGGUGCAUGGCUGUCGUCAGCUCGUGUCGUGAGAUGUUGGGUUAAGUCCCGCAACGAGCGCAACCCUUGUCUCAUGUUGCCAGCGGGUAAUGCCGGGGACUCGUGAGAGACUGCCGGGGUCAACUCGGAGGAAGGUGGGGAUGACGUCAAGUCAUCAUGCCCCUUAUGUCCAGGGCUUCACACAUGCUACAAUGGCCGGUACAAAGGGCUGCGAUGCCGCGAGGUUAAGCGAAUCCUUUUAAAGCCGGUCUCAGUUCGGAUCGGGGUCUGCAACUCGACCCCGUGAAGCCGGAGUCGCUAGUAAUCGCAGAUCAGCAACGCUGCGGUGAUACGUUCCCG
rnacentral:rRNA from 1 species